GGGCUGCUAAUAGGGGGGGCGGCAGUGAACAGGACACGAAGGUUCAGUAAUCCCUUGUUUAAGAACUGAACCUACUGCUCUCAGCGACUCCUUAAAUAUGAUAAAUAGUUCUGUCCUGCAGUCCAAGCUCACUUGAUGGCAGUAUUGCACCCUUAAACUAGUCUGCCUGCCGCCGAUGGACAGAAGAAGAAGAAGAAGAAGACGAAGAACCACAAGAUGGUGGCUACUUGAAGGCCCCUUUACUGCAGCUGUCUGUGGGCUGCAGCUCCCGCUUAAAAAGGAGACAAAGACAUGCAGCAGCUUUGGCUUCCGGUCUGAGAAAACAUGGUGCUUGGUAGGAAACCCCAGAGAGAGGAGCUCUGUUGCGUAGCUGCUGAAGCAUCCGUACCUCCGGCUGAAGCCACGUUAUCUCCUGAUCCAGGUACAGAUGAGGAAAGUAAAAGGAUUGACGUUGUUUGGUGCCAACAACAGGCAUUGUCUACAGUCCAAACGGCAACC